rnacentral:rRNA from 1 species
GUGCACCAGGCGCGAAACUUCACACUGUGCGAAAGCACGAUGAGGGAAUCCCAAGUGCUUGCACGUAAGUGUAAGCUGUUUCUCUGUCUAAAACGCAGAGAGAGUAAGGGCUGGGUAAGACGGGUGCCAGCCGCCGCGGUAAUACCUGCAGCUCAAGUGGUGACCGUUAUUAUUGGGCCUAAAACGUCCGUAGCCGGUUUAAUAAAUGCCUGGGUAAAUUGUGUAGCUUAACUAUACGAAUUCCGGGUAGACUGUUAAACUUGAGACCGGGAGAAGUUAGAGGUACUCCUGGGGUAGAGGUGAAAUUCUGUAAUCCUAGGGGGACCACCAGUGGCGAAGGCGUCUAACUAGAACGGGUCUGACGGUGAGGGACGAAGCCCUGGGGCGCAAACGGGAUUAGAUACCUGGGUAGU